rnacentral:lncRNA from 10 species
UUUUUCAGGUACUCUUGUAAACAAUUGAUAGCCUAAUUAAAAAUAUUUCAUAGGUUGGUCUUAACAGGACUUCCUGGCCUGAUGCAGUGGCUCACGCUUAUAAUACUAGCACUUUGGGAGGCCAAGGUGAGAAGAUUGCUUUAGCCCAGGAGUUUGAGAUCAAUCUGGGCAAUAUAGUUGGACCCUGUCUCUAAGAAAAAAAAAUUACCUGGCAAGGUGGCGCACACCUGUAGUCCCAGCCACUCGGGAGGCUGAGGUGGAAGGAUCACUUGAGCCCAAGAGGUUGAGGCUACAGUGAGUUGUGUUCACACCACUGUGCUUUAGCCUAGGUGACAGAGCAAGACUCUGUCUCAAAAAUAUAAAUAAAUAAAUAAGUAAAUAAAUAACAGAACUUUCUAAGGGCUUGCACUAGGCAGCACUUUGCUCAAUCUGCUGUGAUACCAACAUACCCAUCUGUGUCGCCAGAUUUGAGUCUCACUUGCUAAUCAUUCCUCAGUUUCUUAUUUGUGUCAAUGUAGUUUACCUUCUUGCCUGUAGAUGAUGUAGGGACACCAUCUGGUGGCUAAAUGGGUAAUUACUAGGUUUCUAACCCAUGUUCACCUCUCUGUAUAAUACUCUGGGAAUUCUUCCUGUUCUUUGAAAGUAUUGGAUGUAUUAUUUCUUUAACUAUAUCAUUUAGUUAUUUCACUAAUAGAGGCUGCCUUCCAUAUCUCAGAGUUGUAAGGUUUAUGUGUAUUUUUAGGUGAUCCUUUAAAGCACUUUAACAGUCUCACAUUAAGAGCAAGCUGAAGCUGGGCAUGGUGGCUUGUGGGUGUUAUCUCAGCUACUUGGGAGGCCAAGGAAGGAGGAUUGCUUGAGCCCAGGAGUUUGUGGCCAGCCUGGACAACAUAGUGACACCCCUGUAUCCAAAAAAAAGAAAAAAAAAAAGACAAGCUGAGUUUGCCUAGGUAAUUUAAAAUGCCAACAUUCCUAUAGAACAAGCCUUCUGCUUAGGAGUUGAUAAACCAGAACUAGCCAUCCACUGUCCUCUGGAAAUUUCUUCACAGCUGAGACUCUCCAGGACCUUUGUAAAACUUCACCUUGGGCAGGCGCGGUAGCUCAUGCCUGUAAUCCCGGCACUUUGGGAGGCUGAGGCAGGCGGA